GUCCGAAAUUCGCGUGUGUUCCUAGCACGAAUACGUUUCCUUAUUUCAUGAGACCACUGCAUCGCGAAGGAUCGUCAUGGAUCGUUCGUAGUUCUGAAUUAGGGCAUGCUGUCACAAUGGAAUUGUGAAGCACUUCUAACUUCUGCAACGUUCUGAAAUCUUGUUAAGAACACCCAAACUCUUUUGCCGUUUCUUAAUCUUGGCAAGUUCAGAGUAAACUGAGAAUUAUAUGAAACACAAUCAAACCAUAUAACUCAAUAAGACAUAACAAUUAAGCAACUCCCUAGAGGCAUGCAACAUUUUUGGAACAAAACCUAACAAAAUAGUAGCGUUGAUACGGUGAAUGUGUAUUUGCAAAAAGCAAUAUUAUUUCCUUCAAUAAAGAAUAAUAUUCAUCCUGCUCUAACCGAGAAGUAAUCAACUCAGUCUGUUUGAACCCAUUAAAAACAUAAAAAUUUAGGCUAUUUAAGAAAAAUUUAAGCGCCUGCCUUCCAUGGUCUUUCAUGUACUUUUAAGUUUGUAAAGACCUAAUAUUAAAUACUUGCAUAAUUUCGAACGUUCAUAUUUCAGGAAACAUUGAGCUAAGACUUACAUGUAAGAUGUCUCAAUCUACGCCAUAUCCCUUACAAACCCUAACGACAAUUCGCUGAAAUACAAGUUAGCCUGAUAUGUCAUUAACAAACAAACACUGGAGUUAAUAUUUGAUAUACCGAUUUUUGCUAAUUUUAGACACAUCCCAAAAGAUGCUCCCAAUUUUGAACAUUAAUAUCUCUGUGAAUUUUUAAGUAAAAUGCAACUGUAAUAUGUCAAAAUCUAAGUUAGACAUUCCUCUAUUUAAUGCAAGUUAUUUCUCUUUAAAAGCUUUACUUGUUUAGAAGUUAUUACGAAACAAACAGGAGUAC
rnacentral:lncRNA from 1 species